rnacentral:tRNA from 1 species
GAGGGGAUAGCUCAGGGGUAGAGUGCAUGCUUAGCACCCACGAGGUCCUGGGUUCAACCCCUAGUACCUCCA